AUUGAACGCUGGCGGCAUGCCUUACACAUGCAAGUCGAACGGCAGCACGGGAGCAAUCCUGGUGGCGAGUGGCGAACGGGUGAGUAAUAUAUCGGAACGUGCCCAGUCGUGGGGGAUAACGCAGCGAAAGCUGAGCUAAUACCGCAUACGAUCUAUGGAUGAAAGCGGGGGAUCGCAAGACCUCGCGCGAUUGGAGCGGCCGAUAUCAGAUUAGCUAGUUGGUGGGGUAAAGGCCCACCCAGGCGACGAUCUGUAGCUGGUCUGAGAGGACGACCAGCCACCCUGGAACUGAGACGCGGUCCAGAAUCCGACGGGAGGCAGCAGUGGGGAAUUUUGGACAAUGGGCGCAAGCCUGAUCCAGCAAUGCCGCGUGCAGGAUGAAGGCCUUCGGGUUGUAAACUGCUUUUGUACGGAACGAAACGGUCCUUUCUAAUACAGAGGGCUAAUGACGGUACCGUAAGUAUAAGCACCGGCUAACUACGUGCCAGCCGCCGCAGUAA
rnacentral:rRNA from 1 species